rnacentral:rRNA from 1 species
CCUACGGGAGGCAGCAGUGAGGAAUAUUGGUCAAUGGACGAGAGUCUGAACCAGCCAAGCAGCGUGAAGGAUGACUGCCCUAUGGGUUGUAAACUUCUUUUUUAAAGGAAUAAAACGAGGCACGUGUGCCUUUUUGCAUGUACUUUAUGAAUACGGAUCGGGUAACUCCGUGCCAGCAGCCGCGGUAAUACGGAGGUUCCGAGCGUUAUCCGGAUUUAUUGGGUUUAAAGGGAGCGUAGAUGGGUUGUUAAGUCAGUUGUGAAAGUGUGCGGCUCAACCGGAAAAUUGCAAUUGAUACUGGCAGUCUUGAGUGCAGUUGAGGUAGGCGGAAUGCGUGGUGUAGCGGUGAAAUGCUUAGAUAUCACGAAGAACCCCGAUUGCGAAGGCAGCUUACUAAACUGUGACUGACAUUGAUGCACGAAAGUGUGGGUAUCAAACAGGAUUAGAUACCCGGGUAGUC